CCUACGGGGAGCAGCAGUGAGGAAUAUUGGUCAAUGGACGAGAGUCUGAACCAGCCAAGUAGCGUGAAGGAUGACUGCCCUAUGGGUUGUAAACUUCUUUUAUAAAGGAAUAAAACGCGGCACGUGUGCCUUUUUGCAUGUACUUUAUGAAUAAGGAUCGGCUAACUCCGUGCCAGCAUCCGCGGUAAUACGGAGGUUCCGAGCGUUAUCCGGAUUUAGUGGGUUUAAAGGGAGCGUAGAUGGGUUGUUAAGUCAGUUGUGAAAGUUUGCGGCUCAACCGUAAAAUUGCAAUUGAUACUGGCAGUCUUGAGUACAGUUGAGGUAGGCGGAAUUCGUGGUGUAGCGGUGAAAUGCUUAGAUAUCACGAAGAACCCCGAUUGCGAAGGCAGCUUACUAAACUGUGACUGACAUUGAUGCUCGAAAGUGUGGGUAUCAAACAGGAUUAGAUACCCCAGUAGUC
rnacentral:rRNA from 1 species